rnacentral:tRNA from 1 species
GUCUGGGUGGUGUAGUUGGUUGUCACGUUAGUCUCACACACUAAAGGUCCCUAGUUCGAACCUGGGCUCAGACA